CAGAGGAGCCAAGCGUUGUCCGGAUUGACUGGGCGUAAAGCGCACGCAGGCGGACGCGCGCGUGGGGUGUGAAAUCUGGCCGCUUAACGGCCAGGCGCCAUCCCAUACGGCGCGUCUGGAGUGAUGCAGAGGUCGGUGGAAUUGCCGGUGUAGUGGUGAAAUGCGUAGAGAUCGGCAGGAACACCCAGGGGGAAACCAGCCGACUGGGCAUCGACUGACGCUGAGGUGCGAGAGCGUGGGGAGCGAACCGGAUUAGAUACCCGGGUAGUCCACGCCGUAAACGAUGGCCACUCGGCCUUUGGAGGCGGAAUCUCCGUCUUUGGGGGCCUUAGCUAACGCGGGAAGUGGCCCGCCUGGGAACUACGAGCGCAAGCUUA
rnacentral:rRNA from 1 species